AGCGUAGAUGGAUGUUUAAGUCAGUUGCGAAAGUUUGCGGCUCAACCGUAAAAUUGCAGUUGAUACUGGAUAUCUUGAGUGCAGUUGAGGCAGGCGGAAUUCGUGGUGUAGCGGUGAAAUGCUUAGAUAUCACGAGGAACUCCGAUUGCGAAGGCAGCCUGCUAAGCUGCAACUGACAUUGGGGCUCGAAAGUGUGGGUAUCAAACAGGAUUAGAUACCCUGGUAGUCCACACGGUAAACGAUGAAUACUCGCUGUUUGCGAUAUACGGCAAGCGGCCAAGCGAAAGCGUUAAGUAUUCCACCUGGGGAGUACGCCGGCAACGGUGAAACUCAAAGGAAUUGACGGGGGCCCGCACAAGCGGAGGAACAUGUGGUUUAAUUCGAUGAUACGCGAGGAACCUUACCCGGGCUUAAAUUGCAGAUGAAUUACGGUGAAAGCCGUAAGCCGCAAGGCAUCUGUGAAGGUGCUGCAUGGUUGUCGUCAGCUCGUGCCGUGAGGUGUCGGCUUAAGUGCCAUAACGAGCGCAACCCUUGUUGUCAGUUACUAACAGGUUCUGCUGAGGACUCUGACAAGACUGCCAUCGUAAGAUGUGAGGAAGGUGGGGAUGACGUCAAAUCAGCACGGCCCUUACGUCCGGGGCUACACACGUGUUACAAUGGGGGGUACAGAGGGCCGCUACCACGCGAGUGGAUGCCAAUCCCAAAAACCUCUCUCAGUUCGGACUGGAGUCUGCAACCCGACUCCACGAAGCUGGAUUCGCUAGUAGUCGCGCAUCAGCCACGGCGCGGUGAAUAC
rnacentral:rRNA from 1 species